rnacentral:misc_RNA from 1 species
GAAAUGCGAUAAGUAAUGUGAAUUGCAGAAUUCCGCGAAUCAUCGAAUCUUUGAACGCACAUUGCGCUCCCUGGUAUUCCGGAGAGCAUGCCUGUCUGAGAACCGACAUUUCCUCACAGCCAGUCUGUGGAUCUGAGUCGCCACCUUGCCUGUCGAGGUGUGACUUGAAAUGCUCUGACUCUCUUGGUCUCCCCUAAGGUGACGUAUGACCUUGUGUCCGUAUGCCGAUAAAGGGUGCACUCAUGGAAGGUCAUCUACUCUGAAGCAAGGACCUUUUGGUUCUGAACUCUUGGUCUCAGAUCAGGCAAGACUACCCGCUGAACUUAA